rnacentral:lncRNA from 1 species
AUGACUCCUCACCCAGAAAUUGGCCCACAUACAGCAAACAUGACCCACCUUCUCUUGCCUCUCUCUCUCUCUCUCUCUCUCUCUCUCUCUCUCUCUCUCUCUCUCUCUCUCUCUCUCUCUCUCUCUCUCUCUCUCUCUUCCCCUCCUCUCUCUCUCCCCCCUCUGUCUCUCUCUCUCUGUCUCUCUCUGUCUCUCUCUCUCUCUCUCUCUCUCUUUAUUUCUCACCUACUCUGAGUCCCUAUCUCUUUCUCUCUGACUCUCUCUCACUCUUUCUGCCUUUCUUAUUCUUUGUAUCUCUCUGACUCUAUGUAUUUCACAUACCCACACCCUUUCUUAUGAAAAUUAUACAACCUCAAAGCAAUAGCUAAAUGACAUGUAGUAAAGAAAUCUACUGCUACUAUUUCUCUGCCAUGUUGACACUCUCAUUCCCCCAACAAAAUAUUCAUUUCUAAGCCUAAAGUUACCAUAAUCAGGAAAAAAGUGCAAAGACCAUGCUAUUUUCAAGUAUUACCAAUAUAAAGUUAGUUAAGUUAGUUUCACAGGCAAGAGUUUAGUCUCAUAACUGAAACUCUAAAAGUCCAUGCACUAAGUGAAUAGUCCUUGGAUGAAUCACUUCAACAUCACUGGCCCCAGUUUCCUCAUCUGUAACUUGAGGAGGUUGGAUUAAAUGGCUUCUAAGGUACCUUCUAACUAUAACUCUAUGUUACUCUAAUUCUUUUAAGUAAUAGAGAGAUAUUUAACCUUUUCCAAAGUCCUUUUUGGAUCACAGACUCCGAAACACAAGGUAUAGUGCUUAGAAGCCCCACAGACUUACAUCUCAGUUAGGGAAGAUCUCAAAGAAGAAUCUUGGUAUUGCCCUGGAGGUGUUAAUAUAGUAGCUGAGGGAAGCAUUUUGGCAGAGCCCUGGAACAAAUCAGUAUAGUAAUUGCUUGUGGGUUGUUAAUACUUAUGUCAGAAGCCUUGACCUUUUCAAAUUUAAUAACUUUUUUCUGU